AGUUUGAUCCUGGCUCAGAUUGAACGCUGGCGGCAGGCCUAACACAUGCAAGUCGAGCGGUAGAGAGAAGCUUGCUUCUCUUGAGAGCGGCGGACGGGUGAGUAAUGCCUAGGAAUCUGCCUGGUAGUGGGGGAUAACGUUCGGAAACGGACGCUAAUACCGCAUACGUCCUACGGGAGAAAGCAGGGGACCUUCGGGCCUUGCGCUAUCAGAUGAGCCUAGGUCGGAUUAGCUAGUUGGUGAGGUAAUGGCUCACCAAGGCGACGAUCCGUAACUGGUCUGAGAGGAUGAUCAGUCACACUGGAACUGAGACACGGUCCAGACUCCUACGGGAGGCAGCAGUGGGGAAUAUUGGACAAUGGGCGAAAGCCUGAUCCAGCCAUGCCGCGUGUGUGAAGAAGGUCUUCGGAUUGUAAAGCACUUUAAGUUGGGAGGAAGGGUUGUAGAUUAAUACUCUGCAAUUUUGACGUUACCGACAGAAUAAGCACCGGCUAACUCUGUGCCAGCAGCCGCGGUAAUACAGAGGGUGCAAGCGUUAAUCGGAAUUACUGGGCGUAAAGCGCGCGUAGGUGGUUUGUUAAGUUGGAUGUGAAAUCCCCGGGCUCAACCUGGGAACUGCAUUCAAAACUGACUGACUAGAGUAUGGUAGAGGGUGGUGGAAUUUCCUGUGUAGCGGUGAAAUGCGUAGAUAUAGGAAGGAACACCGGUGGCGAAGGCGACCACCUGGACUAAUACUGACGGUGAUGUGCGAGUGUGUGCGGAGCACACAGGAUUACAUCCCUGGUAGUCCACGCCGGGGACGAUGUCUACUACCCGGUGGCUUCCUUGAGCUUCUACUGCUGCACCUAACGCAUAGAUGACCGCCUGCCGAGUACGUCCGCCAGCUAGUACUCAUAUGAGUGACUGCCGGCCGCAGCAGCGUGCAUCCUGUCUAUUAAUCAAUCAACCGACGAGCGUACAGACUGACUUCAAAUGAACUGGCCCUACUAGAUAAGCCGCCGCGACAGUAACAUAGAGACGGAGGCUGAUGCUGCCACACUGAGUUGAAAUUAGCUAUCCCUUCACGAUCGACUGGGUAUAAGUACAACUGCUUACGAGCGGAGCUGAGA
rnacentral:rRNA from 1 species